rnacentral:rRNA from 1 species
UACGAAGGGGGCUAGCGUUGCUCGGAAUCACUGGGCGUAAAGGGUGCGUAGGCGGGUCUUUAAGUCAGGGGUGAAAUCCUGGAGCUCAACUCCAGAACUGCCUUUGAUACUGAGGAUCUUGAGUCCGGGAGAGGUGAGUGGAACUGCGAGUGUAGAGGUGAAAUUCGUAGAUAUUCGGAGGAACACCAGUGGCGAAGGCGGCUCACUGGUCCGGUACUGACGCUGAGGUGCGAAAGCGUGGGGAGCAAACAGG